rnacentral:ribozyme from 1 species
UUUUUUUUUUUUUUUUUUUUUUUUUUUUUUUUCC